CGGGCCUUUCGCGCUUCUGCCCUGGCUCUCUGCGGGCCGCUCCGCCGGUGCUGUCCCUGGGCGCCUCCGUGCUCUCAGCCAACCGCCUCGGAGAGCGCCUACUCGAGCGCCCCGGGAGCCAGAGGGCGGCGGUCCUCGCCGGGACCCUCCUGUGGGCCCAGGGGGACAAAAGUGGCUCUCAAUCCAGCACAUGCACAUUGAAGCAAGUUAAAGGAUUUAAUAUGAAGCACAGAAGCAGAUAGUGCCAAAUAGCAAGCAGUAGUUGGUACACGUUUGUGAGUAAAAAUUGUCACUUUUGGCUUACUUUCUUAGUCUUUAAAUCGUCUGCAUGCCAAAUCCUUAAAGAUCUAUGUCCCCAGAGACUUUUUGAUAAAGAAUAAAAGAUGUGAGUUAGCAGUCAUAGUCAAACCAGUUGCUGGGGCUGAGCAUCCUGAGCAACCUCUAAGAGCUCUCCUAGGCAUCUCAGUGAGGCGGGGGCUUAGGAUGGGGCUAUGUCUCCAGCAUGGAGUUUAGGAAAUACCUUAGCCAUGGUAAAGUCAUGUAUACUGUCUAACUUUUUAUGCCCUUAAUUUAUAUAUAGUGUCUUUGCUGAAAAUUUAGUGUAAUUUCCAUUUCAAGUUUACACUAAAUUUUGAAAUUUAUUUAAAGAAACCAUUACACGUCAAAUAUGUAGGCUGCCUCAGUUACAUUUACUUUUUGCCCUUUGUAUUCCCUUCAUGAUUUAUUCAUUUGGGCUUAGUCUUAAAAAAGGAUUUUUCCCCUUUGGAGUAUAAUGAUUAGAGGAGUUUUAUGGCAGUAUUGUUUUCUUCGAAUCUGACUUCACAUUUGUAUAUACAUUUGAUACAGCUUCUCUGUAUCCUAUUUGCAAAAUCAUAAGACAGUGACUGUGCUUAAAACUGUCUUUAUGAUUUUCGAGGUAUAGAAAAACUCUUCUUAGGAUAGAUUUGACAAUUGGUUUCUCAAAUCAAGCCCUAAGCCAUGUUCAAAUCCAAAAGUCAUUUUACAUAGAUAUUUACUUUUAUUCAUAGUUUUCUUAUGAAAUGAAUUGUUGAAAUACUGAUUUUUAUUCUUUCUUUUUUACAGCUGGAAAAGCAGUGUCCGUGUUGUUAUGUACACCUCCAAAAAAAGUUCAAAUGUGUAGGGGAAUUGUUGUGUAAAGUAAACUGAACUGCAGGGCAGCAGUAUUUUAAUAGCUAUUAUAGACGUGUAUUUACUGUAUUUAAAUGAGUAAAGGAACAAGCAGUGACACAUCACUAGGAAGGUCAGUGAAAUUUUAUUCAGUUGAGCUGGUAUUAUAGGUUUGAGAGACAAUGGCUUUAAAGCUUACUGCUGUAGGCUAACCAUGCUCUUUUACAUUUUUAUCAGCUUUUGUAUUGGCGGCAACAUUCUUUCUACUGCAUUAAAAAAAAUACACACGUAAAUAUGAUAUUAAAUACAAAUUAAUAGUGUAAGACUUUCAAUCCCUCCAAAAAUGAAUACACACAUGAGGAUUUAUUAUUACAAAUUCUAAAUCUGGUAUUCAUUGCAUCUCAGUCAUUAGGAGAAGUUUUAAUUUGUAUGAUGUGAUUUUCAGGGAGUUGCAUCUUCUUUUUUAGUAAAUUCAGAGUUAAUAUUAUGCAUCUGUCAUUUAAAGGUUUUGAAUAACAGAUGCAUUUGUCAUUUAAAGGUUUUAUUUUUUCAUGCAUGACAGUAAUUUUUAAUUUUAUAUUUUUAAAGUCCAAGCAGCUUUCCCUCAAAUUGAUGAGGAAAUUUAAGUUUAAAUUUUAUUGCAGGCAUUUUUUUAGUUACAAGCAGCAUGCAUAUUUAUUUACGCAGAGAAAGAGUGUGUGUGUAUGUGUACGUACACAUCUGUGUUGUAAUUCUAUAAUAAUUUUAAAAAUUUGGUCCUAAGCAAUAUCCUCAAGGUACAAUUUCAGCUGAUAAUUAAGAAGGCAUUUUGUUAAGGAAGACGUUUUCUUUCAUCUUUUAUUUUUGCUUUGUAUGUGUUCAGUACUUGCAAAUGAGAAAUUUCCUUUCGCUCUUUCUAUAAGGUAUUGUCUUCUAACUUCACUACGUAGGGGAGACUGACAUUUUAACAGUCAGCCCUGUCUUUAAAUUUUUCUCCCACAGGGUGAGCGGGGCAGCAUUUCCUUCUCCCACUGCUGCUGAGAUGGCAGAAAUUAGUCGAAUUCAGUACGAAAUGGAAUAUACUGAAGGCAUUAGUCAGCGAAUGAGGGUCCCAGAAAAGUUAAAAGUAGCACCGCCAAACGCUGACCUGGAACAAGGAUUCCAAGAAGGAGUUCCAAAUGCUAGCGUGAUAAUGCAAGUUCCGGAGAGGAUUGUUGUAGCAGGAAAUAAUGAAGAUGUUUCAUUUUCAAGACCAGCGGAUCUUGACCUUAUUCAGUCAACUCCCUUUAAAUCCCUGGCACUGAAAACACCACCUCGUGUACUUACGCUGAGUGAAAGACCACUAGAUUUUCUGGAUUUAGAAAGACCUCCUACAACCCCUCAAAAUGAAGAAAUCCGAGCAGUUGGCAGAGUAAAAAGAGAGCGGUCUAUGAGUGAAAAUGCUGUUCGCCAAAAUGGACAGCUGGUCAGAAAUGAUUCUCUGUAUGGCAUUUCAAAUAUAGAUACAACCACUGAAGGAACGUCAGAUGACCUGACUGUUGUAGAUGCAGCUUCACUAAGACGACAGAUAAUCAAACUAAAUAGACGUCUACAACUUCUGGAAGAGGAGAACAAAGAACGUGCUAAAAGAGAAAUGGUCAUGUAUUCAAUUACUGUAGCUUUCUGGCUGCUUAAUAGCUGGCUCUGGUUUCGCCGCUAGAGGUAACAUCAGCCCUCAAAAAUAUUGUCUCAACAGCUGGAAAUAUAAAAGAUUUGCAAACUUCUUUGUUUCUGUCUCUGCAUUGUAUGCCAUUUUAUAGUCCACACCCUGAAAAUGUAUUUCUUCUAGAAAGUCUGGAGGAAGGGACCUAUAUUUGUAGAAGUAAAGGUAUAUUCUGUCACUCAGCUGUAUUCACGUUUGAGCAGUUCUGCAGUAACACCUGCUUAAAAUUCUCCCUUUGCAUGUUUUGUAAAUAGGCUCCAGUUUUGUUUUUUAAAAGGAAUUUAUUUUUUGCCUCAUCAGUCCACCCAACUGAUUCUGAAUGGGAGAGAGUCUGUAGAGAAUUGAUUCAGAAAAGUGUCUGUGAAAGAAAAACAAUUAUUUUGUCCUGUUUCUCAAACAGUGUUAAGCAGUUUUGUUAAUAGACAUUUUUGCAUCAACAUUAACACUUUCAAAGUCAUGGUCCGGUGCCAGAUUUAAGAAACUCGAACCACCUAAUAUUUCAUAACCUUCUUCAUUAGGUACUUGUACAGAUUAAUUUCUAACAUUCCAGCAGUUUCAUAUGUGUGCAAUAUGUGCAUUCUUUCAUUUUAGUUUUGCACUUGGUUUUCUAUAAAGUACGUUUUUACUCAGUUCAUGUGUGAACAAUUUAAAAAACUACAGAAUAAGGUACAAAUGUAGUGUAUUUAAUAAACUGUCAACCAAAGCA
rnacentral:sRNA from 1 species